rnacentral:rRNA from 1 species
ACAGAUGGGAGCUUGCUCCCUGAUGUUAGCGGCGGACGGGUGAGUAACACGUGGGUAACCUGCCUGUAAGACUGGGAUAACUCCGGGAAACCGGGGCUAAUACCGGAUGGUUGUUUGAACCGCAUGGUUCAAACAUAAAAGGUGGCUUCGGCUACCACUUACAGAUGGACCCGCGGCGCAUUAGCUAGUUGGUGAGGUAACGGCUCACCAAGGCAACGAUGCGUAGCCGACCUGAGAGGGUGAUCGGCCACACUGGGACUGAGACACGGCCCAGACUCCUACGGGAGGCAGCAGUAGGGAAUCUUCCGCAAUGGACGAAAGUCUGACGGAGCAACGCCGCGUGAGUGAUGAAGGUUUUCGGAUCGUAAAGCUCUGUUGUUAGGGAAGAACAAGUACCGUUCGAAUAGGGCGGUACCUUGACGGUACCUAACCAGAAAGCCACGGCUAACUACGUGCCAGCAGCCGCGGUAAUACGUAGGUGGCAAGCGUUGUCCGGAAUUAUUGGGCGUAAAGGGCUCGCAGGCGGUUUCUUAAGUCUGAUGUGAAAGCCCCCGGCUCAACCGGGGAGGGUCAUUGGAAACUGGGGAACUUGAGUGCAGAAGAGGAGAGUGGAAUUCCACGUGUAGCGGUGAAAUGCGUAGAGAUGUGGAGGAACACCAGUGGCGAAGGCGACUCUCUGGUCUGUAACUGACGCUGAGGAGCGAAAGCGUGGGGAGCGAACAGGAUUAGAUACCCUGGUAGUCCACGCCGUAAACGAUAAGUGCUAACUGUUAGGGGGUUUCCGCCCCUUAGUGCUGCAGCUAACGCAUUA